rnacentral:rRNA from 1 species
UACGUAGGGUGCGAGCGUUAAUCGGAAUUACUGGGCGUAAAGCGUGCGCAGGCGGUCUUGAAAGUCAGAUGUGAAAUCCCCGGGCUUAACCUGGGAACUGCGUUUGAAACUCCAAGACUAGAGUGUAGGAGAGGGGGGUAGAAUUCCACGUGUAGCAGUGAAAUGCGUAGAGAUGUGGAGGAAUACCAAUGGCGAAGGCAGCCCCCUGGCCUAACACUGACGCUCAUGCACGAAAGCGUGGGGAGCAAACAGG